UCACUUGCUCCCCCCUCUCUCUCUUGCGAUUCCAGAUCUGGAUCUAGGGUUUGAACUCUUCCCCACCCAACUUCAAAUCUUUAGAUGUUUGAUUUUCCUUCUAAGGUUUCUCAUACUCCACAACCCGUCGUCGCUGUUGAAGACGUAUAUGUCCCUCUAAAAAGUGGUGGAGAUCAUCUCAACUUUGGUCUUCUUUGCAGUCUCUCCUUUAUGAGAGAUUCUAGGGUUCCGAUGACGUUUGCAUUUUGAUGAAUGUCUCCAUUUUCGUAUAGAUCGAACCUCGUAGUGAUGUUUGGAAUUGUUUUGGUUGUUCCAGCUUCUCCAACAAGCUUCUGGGUUUCCCAGCUUGGCUCGUGAUAUUCCUUGGCUCGUG